rnacentral:rRNA from 1 species
UACGGGGGGGGCAAGCGUUGUUCGGAAUUACUGGGCGUAAAGGGCUCGUAGGUGGCCAACUAAGUCAUACGUGAAAUCCCUCGGCUUAACCGGGGAACUGCGUCCGAUACUGGCAGGCUUGAAUUCGGGAGAGGGAUGCGGAAUUCCAGGUGUAGCGGUGAAAUGCGUAGAUAUCUGGAGGAACACCGGUGGCGAAGGCGGCAUCCUGGACCGAGAUUGACGCUGAGGCGCGAAAGCCAGGGGAGCAAACGGG